rnacentral:rRNA from 1 species
GCCCAGACUCCUACGGGAGGCAGCAGUGGGGAAUAUUGCACAAUGGGGGAAACCCUGAUGCAGCGACGCCGCGUGAGCGAUGAAGUAUUUCGGUAUGUAGAGCUCUAUCAGCAGGGAAGAAAAUGACGGUACCUGACUAAGAAGCCCCGGCUAACUACGUGCCAGCAGCCGCGGUAAUACGUAGGGGGCAAGCGUUAUCCGGAUUUACUGGGUGUAAAGGGAGCGUAGACGGCUGUGCAAGCCAGAUGUGAAAGCCCGGGGCUCAACCCCGGGACUGCAUUUGGAACUGUGUGGCUGGAGUGUCGGAGAGGCAGGCGGAAUUCCUAGUGUAGCGGUGAAAUGCGUAGAUAUUAGGAGGAACACCAGUGGCGAAGGCGGCCUGCUGGACGAUGACUGACGUUGAGGCUCGAAAGCGUGGGGAGCAAACAGGAUUAGAUACCCUUGUA